GAUGAACGCUGGCGGCGUGCCUAAUACAUGCAAGUCGAGCGAACAGACGAGGAGCUUGCUCCUCUGACGUUAGCGGCGGACGGGUGAGUAACACGUGGAUAACCUACCUAUAAGACUGGGAUAACUUCGGGAAACCGGAGCUAAUACCGGAUAAUAUAUUGAACCGCAUGGUUCAAUAGUGAAAGACGGUUUUGCAGUCACUUAUAGAUGGAUCCGCGCCGCAUUAGCUAGUUGGUAAGGUAACGGCUUACCAAGGCAACGAUGCGUAGCCGACCUGAGAGGGUGAUCGGCCACACUGGAACUGAGACACGGUCCAGACUCCUACGGGAGGCAGCAGUAGGGAAUCUUCCGCAAUGGGCGAAAGCCUGACGGAGCAACGCCGCGUGAGUGAUGAAGGUCUUCGGAUCGUAAAACUCUGUUAUUAGGGAAGAACAAAUGUGUAAGUAACUAUGCACGUCUUGACGGUACCUAAUCAGAAAGCCACGGCUAACUACGUG
rnacentral:rRNA from 1 species